rnacentral:rRNA from 1 species
UACAGAGGGUGCGAGCGUUAAUCGGAAUUACUGGGCGUAAAGCGUGCGUAGGCGGUUACAUAAGUCGGGUGUGAAAGCCCCGGGCUCAACCUGGGAAUUGCAUUCGAGACUGCGUAGCUAGAGUGCUGAAGAGGGAAGCGGAAUUUCCGGUGUAGCGGUGAAAUGCGUAGAUAUCGGAAGGAACACCAGUGGCGAAAGCGGCUUCCUGGUCCAGCAUCGACGUUCAGGCACGAAAGCGUGGGGAGCAAACAGG